rnacentral:rRNA from 1 species
AGAGUUUGAUCCUGGCUUAGAACGAACGCUGGCGGCAGGCCUAACACAUGCAAGUCGAGCGCGCCCUUCGGGGUGAGCGGCGGACGGGUUAGUAACGCGUGGGAACGUACCCUUUGGUAGGGAAUAGCCACUGGAAACGGUGAGUAAUACCCUAUGAGCCCUUCGGGGGAAAGAUUUAUCGCCAAAGGAUCGGCCCGCGUUAGAUUAGGUAGUUGGUGGGGUAAUGGCCUACCAAGCCUACGAUCUAUAGCUGGUUUUAGAGGAUGAUCAGCAACACUGGGACUGAGACACGGCCCAGACUCCUACGGGAGGCAGCAGUGGGGAAUCUUGGACAAUGGGGGCAACCCUGAUCCAGCCAUGCCGCGUGAGCGAAGAAGGCCUUAGGGUCGUAAAGCUCUUUCGCCUGUGAAGAUAAUGACGGUAGCAGGUAAAGAAACCCCGGCUAACUCCGUGCCAGCCGCCGC